CCCCGGUCGAGAGUUCGGCUUCGGCCAUUCAUCUCCCUGAUCGCACCACACGUAGGACAAAAUCCCUUGCCGACUGCUUGUCGCCGGCCACCGCUACUCCUGCUCGGACGCUCCCCGCUCCCACACACGGCCAGCCGGCCCCAGGCGCUGCGCCGCACCCGCACGGCACAGUCAGCAAACAGCAGAGCAGGCCGCGGGAGGGGAAGGCCGCACCAGCACGGCGGCGCACGCAUUGUCGCGGCUCCAUCCAAUCAAGGUAAAUGUGUGCUGGAUCUCUAAAUAAAUCCGUACUAUUUGCAUUUUUCCUCACUUGAUUGGUAAGAAUAGUAAAUUUUGUGAUUAUAAUAAAAAUUUCAUCAUGAUCUACACCAUCAUCGGACACCAACCAAUACUGUAGAAGGAUAACCGAACCGAACCGAAAUUACAUGUAUGCUAAGAGUCCAAAUAAUCUGAGUACACCGAUAUGUGCAAUCUGCUGGAAACCAAUGUCGUUUUUUCCUUUUAAUCCUUUCAUUGUUGUCCACGUGUAGACAGAAACUUCCCGGAACUCAGAACUCGAAAAUUGCCGGAACUCGGAACUUGCCGGGACUCAAAACUUGACAGGAAGUUGGAUCUGAAUUGCUUGGCUUCACGUGCACACACAAAUCUCUUCUUCUUUUUUCUUUAAGUUGCUCACCGAGUAAACACUGGAAAUCUGAUACCAAGAUGAUAAGGGAUGGCUCGAUCUUCUCAGAGAGCAACGUGGAUAACUUGUAUGAUUCUACAAAUCUUCCGGCUGUUCACCCGUCGCCGCACGACGAACUUGCAACCCAAUGGAAAUUCGCAACACAACACACUUGCGCAGUAGUCUGCCGACCACAAGCGGUUUCGCAAUCUUCCAAUUCUCAGCGAAACGACAGAUUACGCUCGAAAUUUCAGUAGAUAACAAACACCCUAUCGAAACGAAUAUGGUGUAUAUGAUUCCAGAUGAAUGCUUCUCGCAAUCAACAAGAGUCUCGAAAAUAGCUAAAACGUGGUCUAACCCUAAACCUAGGCGUACCCCUUGUUUAUAUAGACGAGGAGUAGCCCAAACUCAAUACAGACUCCAACUCAAAUUCAAACUAGAAUUCGACUCAGACUCAAACUAGAACUGGAAUUCGACUCAAUACAGACUCCGACUCAAAUUCAAACUAGAAUUCGACUCAGACUCAAACUAGAACUGGAAUUCGACUCAAACUAGAAUUCAACUCAGACUCAAACAUGGGCUCGCAGAUCUGGGCACUCCUUAGACGUGUCGGACUCGUCGUAGGCUGUCCUAGUGUGCCUCAUAUUCGUACUCGACUUGUGGUGCAUCCUAGGCAUAUCAUCCUUGUCGUUGGCUGCCCCUUGCACACAAGACAUUCUUCUAACUUAUAUCCUUCAUCUUCACUUUUGGUGCGCCUGCCUCCCUCUCCUCCCUCCCGCAUAUCUUGAUGUUGGAUAUCAACACUUGAGGAUCCGUACCCUCAUCAGUUAGGCUCGAUGCUACUUGCGGCUCUAUCACUGGCCCAACAAGGAUGUCUAGAAGAGAAGCAAUUAUCUAACUAGCUAUAACUACGAAACCCCAACCAAUAUAGCACCACUACGCCAAUUUUAGUAUCCUCAUUCUCCAAUUUCCGGCUCCACCACUGGAUGGUUUCUUCAGCUUUUUAAGCUCUCAAAUGUAAGGUUUUUUCACCAUUUAAGAUCCCUAAAGUUAUUCAAAAGAUUUUGAUGAAAGUAUAUUUUGGUCCCUCAAUUGACAAAAAAGUCUAAAAACGAUUCAUAAACUUGAAAAUACUAUACAUUUGGUCCAUCAAUUGGCAAAACCCAAUUUUUUUUAUCCUUUUCCUGGAUUUGACCCCAUGUGGUUUCUUUUUCUUAGAUUUUUCAACAUCAGAUGUCACGAUGCCGUCCAGUUUCUCCUUGAGCUCGAAAUCGUAUGCGUUUAGCCUCUCGAUUGUGCAUCGUGACAUCUGAAGUGGAAAAGUCUGAUGGAAAAUUGCUCUAUGUGGAGUCAAAUGGAGUCAAAACCACUCAAUACGGUUCGAAUCCAGAAGAAAGACCAAAGUAUCUGGUUUUGUCAAUUGAGGGACCAAAAUAUACUUUUUUCAAUUGACCGUACUUUAUGAAACAACUUAAAAACUACAAGGACGAAUUUACCCUUUUCAGCUCAUAUUUAUUAUGGAAAAAGGCCUUUUUGUUCUUUGAGAGACUAGUUUCUCCUAUCUCCUCACAUUCUGUCCUCCACGUCAGUCAAGAAUUGAUGUGGUAUGCGAAAAAUGAAAAUCGAUGUUCCACCCUCUAAGAAAUAGUUGGGGGUGUAUUGUUCAGCAAUAUGCUCUUGCAAAUACAAAAUGCUAGUAGUCUGUACAAGUACAACACACGUUUUAAUACAACCACCUGGCUUAUAUCGUAAAGAUGUCUUACUUGAAACACAUGAUUUUACAAUGAAAAUAAGCCAACGGAGGACAAAGAGAUCGAGUAAAAGAAUCAAAAUAUAUUGGCAAACAUACAGAAAUUAAGAUCCCCUAGAUAAACUGUGUAAAUCCCUAUCCUACAAGUGUACUCCUUGAGGAGAUCCUUCUUAGGGGUCUUGCGAGCUCCAUUGACCCCGGGUAUGUGAGGGUGGGCGACCCGCGGGGUCAACCCUUGUUGCAUGCUUGAGCUGUUUUUCUGUUUUUUAGCUAGUCUUGUAAUUAUGAACUCCUCUCUCUAAUCUAAUGUCAAUCUACUGCCUUUUCUUAAAAAAAAUUACCAGUCUACUACUUGUACUUUAUAUCAAACAAUAAAUGAUGAUGCGCAUGCAUGCACUCUUAGGUAAAAUAAACGAUGCACUAUUAAUAUUACACAAGCGGUGUAUACAUGUAUAUAUUGACAUGGACAAAAAGAAAACUACUACAAUCUGCAUGCAUGAUAUUAGUAUGCAGUAGUAGUUUAUAAUUACACCAUGCAACAAUCAAGACCAAUAUUCUACAGCAGAAAACCGGGGAGCCCGACUUUCUUCCCCGUCUUCUUGACGUCCUCUUGCACCCUUCUCCGGUACUCCCCGAAUGUGAAGGUCCUGUAAGGGGAAGGCUCCUCGCAGGCGCCGAUGGGCGAGUCGUACGAUGGGCAAAGGAAGUAUGCCACGGAGUACCUCUCUGUCGUCGCGUUGGUUACCACUUUGUGCUCCACGCUCCUGUAUCGAUUGUUGCUCCAUGCCUUGACACGACAAAAACCAGAGCGGACAGUAAGAAAACCGACCUUUUAAACAAAAGAAAAUAGAAUUGCUUUUGUGCAUUUUGCCCCCUUUUCGAACAAGAAAAAAACACUGACUUUAAUUGCUCUGUUUGUAACUGUACCUUACAUGCUCGAUUCAGCGAUGAAACUAAAUCUACGGCUGUACGUAUAUAAUACUACUGAUCAAUAGGAAAAGGCAGUCUGCAGUAGAUCGGUUCCUUAGCUAGCGAAAGUUGCAACGUAUGUAACCAUGUGAGCAUCGUGGAUAGAGGUCUCGCUUUUGUAUAUCCAAUGUUUUCCUGUCCCCCCUGAACUCAGCGGAAUCCCUAGGCUUUAUGUUAGCGGCGGUACACAGCACAGCACAGCGAUAUACGCAAGUUGCGGAUAUGUAUGACACGGCAGCUUCCGCUUUUAGAGUGUCCGAGUACACUCCCCCCGGCAGAUGUUCACAGGUGCCGCACUUGUACGCAGCCAGCAUGUUACUGGAGCGUACACAAAUAAUCAAUCGCAUUCUGACUCGUCAAGUCAAGCUAGCUAUGGAUCGAGGCCGGCCGGCACUGCAGUGCACACGCACAUGUUUGUGUGUACCUUGUGAGUGGUGGAUCUUAAAGUAUAUUCUGAAUGCAUGAUUUCCUUUUUCGUAUGGAUAGCGAGAGGGCAAAUUAACUCUAGUCCUAGUUAAGCUAUGGAUGCAUGGCUCAUAUAUUGUCGUAAUGCUACACGUACGUACGGUAUACCUGAGUAAUAAAUACAGUAUAAGUAUAUGUCGACGUGUCCGUAGGUAUAUACGUACCUGGAAGAGGUCACCGAUGUUGACGAUGAGAGCGUUGGGGAUGGGCUUGACGGCGAGCCAGCGGGAGCCCUUCAUGAGCUGCAGGCCGCCGACUUGGUCCUGGCAGAGCACGGUGAGGAAGUCGCUGUCCGUGUGGGGCACGAGUCCGAAGGCGUCCGGCGAGAGCGGGCACGGCGGGUACCUGUUGAGCCGGAGGAAGCACGUCCUCUCGUCGCAACCCUCCGGGAACCGCUCCCCCGCGUGACCCAGCCUCUCAGCCAGCACGCGCGCCAGCGUGUUGGCCAGCUUUGACAUCGCCGUCGCCACCUCCUGCGUCACAUCCCUGCAACAUCAUAUCGAUCAGCUUGUGUCUUAAUUUGACUGUACUGGGUAGUAUUCCCUCCCUACUGAAAUAAGUACUUGUAUUUGCAUAAGAAUUUAUACAAAUUCACGUCACUUGUUUUAGACAGAGGGAGUAGUAAUGUUGUGUUGUGAAAUUUCUCCCACGCAUGUGACUAAGUUAAACUAGAUUAGUUACUGGCAUGCAGGGCUGGGCAGAAAAAGCGGGAACCGAACACCGAAACCGAACAAACCGAAAUCUCGGUUUUUUCUUGUUUGAUAGUCUUUUUCGGUUUUUGUUGUUGCUAACCGAAUUUAAUCGGCGGUUCGGUUUAUUGUUCGGUUAACCAGUUAACGAAAGAUGGGCCAGCCCAACUGGCAGCAGCAGCGGGACGCACCCCCUUGGCGGCCUGGCCCAUAGCAUCCAACGGCCCACAUCCCAACAACUAAGUAAGGCCAAGCAGCUACCAGAAGCGCCUCGUCCUCUCUCCCGAUCUCUUCCUCCCGUAGUCUCUCUCUGUCCCGUAAUCUCUCUCCAGUCUCCACGCAUCGUGCAGGCCUCACCUCGAGCACAGGCCGCCGUGAAUCCUGAGCCGUCUUCAGCCCGCGCGAAUUGGCCGGCGGCUGCCGCCUUUUCCCGCCCCCAAUCUGCCGAGUCGCCGAAGGUCGCAAGACUGCCAUGAAUCCCCGCCGCCGUCGUUGACCGCGACGCGCCAAAUCCUCCGCGGCGCCGCCGACUGCCCCGAAUCCACGCCACCUUGGUUGAACGCCGCGAAUCCCGUCGCCACAGCCAGCCCGCCAUGAAUCUCCGCCACUGUUGUCGACCGCGACGAGACUAAUCUUCCUCCGCCUGCUAAUCUCGGUAUAAACCGAAACCGAAUUUCCGGUUAACCGGAUUUUCGGUUUUUCAGUUUCAGGCGGUAAUUUCGGGUAACUCAUUUGCUAACCAGAUUGUGAAAAACCCCGAAAUAAAGAAACCGAAAAUUCGGUUUUUACCGAAUGCCCACCCCUGCUGGCAUGCAUCCUUGCCCGGAUCAAAACCCAAAUAUCCAAGGAACGUAGCUAUAAACGUACAAAAGUUCAGUCUGGUAGUAGCUUACCGGCCGUCACGAUCGAGUAGGUAUCGUUUUCACCACGAUAGGGCAUACUCAUGAUCUUAUUGUCAGGCACCCGAUAGAUACAUAUAUAGUUGAUAAGAAGUUGAUCGAGACAUCAUACACGGAGUAAUAAUAAUUAACAAGCUAACUAGAACUACUGCGUUUUUCCACAUCAGACACCGAGGGGUUUGGAUCUACUUCUUGACCACGCCAUGAUAACAUUCCGAUGAUGUUGCCAGGCCAGCUUAAUCGCCGUACGUUACUAAUCCAAUCCCUCCUUUUUACCGGGUGCAUGCUUAGUUAUUCGGCCGCACUAGUCAAUGUCGCCAUCAUAUUACCGUGACGGAAUAUUUUUUAGUUACCAAUCCCCGCGGGAUGGGAAAAGCUUAUUCCCGGCCGGUACUUGAGAAAUACCGGCGCUUCAGUGAAUGAGAAAAGGGAAAUCUGGAUCAGGAUCCAGGAGGCACACACACACAUGUCGAUCAAAGCAGCCUAUUACUUGAGAUCAGAGUUGCACGUAGUAUGUAGCUAGGAAGAAGGACGUUGAUUACCUGAGGGUGGUGAGUUGGCCGUAGUUGCAGGGCGGGUCGCCGGAGACGGCAGCGAGUGGAACGUGGAAGGCCUCGGACCAGGACAGCUGGGCGGGCGACGUGGCGGUCGGGGUGCCCCAGCGGUAGGAGUGGUUGAGCAGGCCGGCCGUGGCCUUGGCCUCGAACGGCAGGCGGAAGAGCCGCGUCUGCUCCCGCCGCAUCGCCUCCAGGAGCUCCUGCUUCACGCCGUGGUUCACCACCUGGAAGAAGCCCCAAUCCUCGGCCGCGCCCGCGAUCGCCGCCGCGCACGCCGCCCGCUCCUCCGCGCUGCCGCCACCCGUCGUCAGGCACCCGACGUCGAUCAUCGGGAGCUCGCACUCCGACACUGCCAUAUCGGGCGCAGGCAGAACGUGAUCGGCAUGCACCGUCGGCGUACAGUGCGCGUCUUUGUUCCGGCCGUCGGCGCCGGCCCGGCGAAGAAGCGCGUGGUAGCUGUCCGCCAGCGGCGGCUCGGCCGCGCUCUCGGCGAAGGCCGGCAUGGCUUGGCUUGGCUUGGCUUGGCAAGCUGUUCAAAUGAAUUCGCUAAGCGGGAGCUGUGAGUGGCAGUUUAUUAGCUGGGCGUGUGCACGCGCGCAAGCUUGCAGUGAUGGAGAGUUGGCUGUGGCUGUUCUUGGAUGCGAGCAGGGGUUAAGCCUUUAUAUAGGGGACGACGGAAGCCACUCGUGGGCAGCGAUGGAGCCUCGUUGAUUAAGCUGCUUGCAUGGGUGUGGCCCGCCCGAUGGAAUGCGGGUGUUUUAGACUUUAAAAGAGCAAGGGAGAAGGCUCGAUCGGGCUGGUAACAGCGCGGCACAGGCCGACACUUGGAGGCGACGCGGGCAAGCGUGGGGUGGUCCGCGUUUUCUGACUGGGCCGGCGAGCGACCCGUGCUUGUCAUUUCUCAAGAAAUGGAAAAUAAAAAACAAAAAACAAAAUUUGGGCGUGCAUGGCGAUGCGGACGGCUUAAAUUAAAUUUUUGCCUACUCUAAAAAGCAGGAGUAUCGUCCCCCUUUUAUAUCUCGCUACACAGUACACAGUGCGUGCGCGUACGUACGCAACAGUGCGAAUUUCCCCUAGUUAAUUCCGGCGCGGGGCUUCGGCCCCCACCCCGGCGGCACGUCGCUGUACGCGUGGUCUACCCGGAGCCCUACGCGCGCCUGCCGCGCGUCACCGCAUCUGCUUAUCAUACUAUGCUGCUCUCGUUCGUAUUUAGUGCGUAGUGUGAUGCUCGAUCAAGGACGUCAGCGCGCGAUGGUAGAUGGAGCAACAGGAGGAGAGUGGUGGAACACGGGUUGGGUGGAACCGAAUCUCUGCAGUAUCAUUAGAUUGGAAUGGCCAUCGAAUGGACUUUUUAAUUAUUAUUUUUCAUAUAACUUACUCUCACCGUUUCAUAAGCAAGUUCUUUCUAAAAUGAGCCAAGUACAUACAUCCGUAUCUAAACAAAACUAUGUCAAGAAUAUUGAACGGAGGGAGUAUACCGUUAGUUAAAUUGGUGACUUAGGAACACACACAAAUGUAUAAACAUAACGAUGGAGUAAAAGAAAUAUAACAAUAUUAUAAAUAUACUAUUAAGAUAUAUUUUCUCCUUUUUCACAAAGGUAGCAUAUUUGGUAUCGUUAAGACAAGACUUUUACCAAUGAUAACUCUAGUGAUAUGUAUUUUAUUUGGCACGAAACCAUAAUUAUUAGUAAGAAUUUUUGAAAACAAAUUUAUUGAUAAAAAUUUCAUGUAUGACAAAACACAUAUUAAUCUAGUAACAUUUGGUCAAAACGUACCUUUGUGAAAGGAAGGGAGUAUAUCAUGACAUUUAAUUAAUUUAGAGUUAUAAAUGUUGGUAAAUUUUUCUAUAAAUUUUGUCAUUUGGAAUAAAUAACCCAGGAUUAAACUAGUACAACUUAUACAUAUUCAGGAACAAAGUGACCACAUCGUCAUUCAGAAGAGAACCUAUAGGGAACAAAAAAUUUAUUGAAACUUAACUCCCCUACCGUCCUCUGAAAUAUAAGGUAUUCCGAUUUUAUCUUCAAUCAAACUUUAACCAAGGUAAUAGAAAAUAUACUAUAAUAUCUACAAUGCCAAAUAAGUAUACUAUGGAGAUAUAUAUAUUAUGACGAAUUUAAUAAAAUCUAUCUAGAGUUGUAGAUUUUUGUUGAUGGUUCUAUCAACUUGGUCAAAUUUCAAAAAGAGAAAGAAAAAUUAACUUAGAAUAUAGUCAAAACAUCUUAUAAUUUAGAAAGAAAAAAACACUACAGAAUAUGCUAUCUCACCAGGUACAAAAGGUCCAACUGUGGCGUUUAUAGCCGUCUACGGUAGAGCAAAUAAUAUUCUAUCCCAAUUAAUUAGAACAGAAGGAGUACAUUGAUUAAUCUAUCCCUGCACCCAGGGCGAAAGAUGCCACGCCAUCUUGCUUCAUGCUGCUCCUUUUUGCUGGGUGGGGCAUAUGGGUUGGUCUGCAGUUUGUAGCUAGAUUUGGUGGUUGGCAUAUGCAGAUUGAGUUGGUUCUGACCACCUCCACGUCAGAAAAGGCAUGACAGAAUUAAAAGAAAACACAGGGCUAGACUCCCAGGACCGGUCAUAUGAGCCAGGCAGAGAUAUUUCGGUCCCAGGAAGCUAUCUGCAAGUAUUCUGUCCGUCUGACUUUUUAUUACAUUUAUCUAGACAUAUUUAAGAUACAUACAUAAUUUUAUAUAAUUUUGAGUUACUUAAUAUGAAACGGAGGGAGUACAUUACAUUAUCGGAUGGACAAAUGGGCAAGCCUACUUCUUCGGGUUUCUUUUUUGAUAAAAACUUCUUCGGUUUUCUCUGUCCAGUUAAUUAGUGCGGAGUAACUAAUUUGUAACCCCUCCACUGAAAUGAUGUGUCCAUAAUGUUCAAAAUAAAGAGAGUAGUAGAAUACAAUAUAAGUAGGCAUGGACGGUUCUCAGAUGCAGAGAAGUACAUGCAGUACUGCGUCGAUGAGGCCGACUGACACGAUUUUUCUUACGGCUCGUCUGGCAACCAAGAAUUCAUUUCAUUGAUCAAAAUGAAAUGAAAUCCAAUUUUGAUAGGAUUUUAUUUGAUUAAAUUUGAAUUCUGGGUUGAAAAAUCAUGUUUGUCUACCACAUGGAAUUGAAGAGUGAGAUCCAAUUCUAAAAAAAGAUGGCUUUUAGAGAGGAAUUGAGACUAGUUAUAGUGUGAUUUCAUGAAAUUUGAGAUUGAAUUCCUGUGACUAAUUCUGUGCCAGCCAAACAAGUUGUUUUUUGAAAUUCAAAAUGAAUUCUAAAAUUCUAUACCCAAACGAUGGGUGCCAAACAAACUGUAAGAGUACGAAGAAGAAGAGACACCGUCGCUGCUACUACUUUUUAAGCAUCCGUACGUAACCAUCUAUACUGGCCGGGAGUCAAAAGCGUUUUAUAUAUACAAAAGCAUGUACUUGCCCGUCCGGCGCUGCUGACUUAACAGGUUGGAUAAUUAAGGAACAUGCUCCAUUGAGGAACAAAGGGAGUUGUCAAGGACGGCAGUUUGUUCCCUCCAUCCACUAGAGCAGACAAAACUUUCAAACAGCGGCUUUUCCGUAGCUAGUUUAGUUCAUACUCCGACCGAACCCAAGUAUUCUAACCCUACCUCUGUUUCCUAGCCGAUCUGAGAUUUGGCAUCCGAAGAAUCCAAUGGUUUCUUCUCAGCAA
rnacentral:lncRNA from 1 species